CAGCUAGUUGGCGGGGUAACGGCCCACCAAGGCGAUGACGGGUAGCUGGUCUGAGAGGAUGGCCAGCCACAUUGGGACUGAGAAACGGCCCAGACUCCUACGGGAGGCAGCAGUGGGGAAUCUUGCGCAAUGGCCGAAAGGCUGACGCAGCGACGCCGCGUGUGGGAGGACGCCCUUCGGGGUGUAAACCACUGUUGCCCGGGACGAACAUCCCUUUUCGAAGGGACUGACGGUACCGGGUGAGGAAGCACCGGCUAACUCCGUGCCAGCAGCCGCGGUAAUACGGAGGGUGCGAGCGUUGUCCGGAAUCACUGGGCGUAAAGGGCGCGUAGGUGGCGCGGGAAGUCUUCGGUGAAAGUUCAGGGCUCAACCCUGAAUCGGCCGGGGAUACUCCUGUGCUCGAGCUCACUAGAGGCAGAUGGAAUUCCGGGUGUAGCGGUGGAAUGCGUAGAGAUCCGGAAGACACCGGUGGCGAAGGCGGUCUGCUGGGGUGAUGCUGACACUGAUGCGCGACAGCGUGGGGAGCAAACAGGAUUAGAUACCCUGGUAGUCCACGCCGUAAACGAUGGGCACUAGGUGCUUGGGGGAGCGACCCCCUGAGUGCCGUCGCUAACGCAUUAAGUGCCCCGCCUGGGGAGUACGGCCG
rnacentral:rRNA from 1 species